AAACCAUGAUUCGGAGAUCUCAUCAAAUACUACUUGAACCUCUCCCAAGCUUCAUAAAGUUGUUCCCCUGGUAGUUGCUUGAACUCAAAUAUCUUGUCUCUAAGCUC